rnacentral:rRNA from 1 species
UGGGAAUAUUGGACAAUGGGCGCAAGCCUGAUCCAGCCAUGCCGCGUGAGUGAUGAAGGCCCUAGGGUUGUAAAGCUCUUUCACCGGUGACGAUAAUGACGGUAGCCGGAGAAGAAGCCCCGGCUAACUUCGUGCCAGCAGCCGCGGUAAUACGAAGGGGGCUAGCGUUGUUCGGAAUUACUGGGCGUAAAGCGCACGUAGGCGGAUAUUUAAGUCAGGGGUGAAAUCCCGGGGCUCAACCCCGGAACGGCCUUUGAUACUGGAUGUCUUGAGUCCGGAAGAGGUGAGUGGAAUUGCNAGUGUAGAGGUGAAAUUCGUAGAUAUUCGCAGGAACACCAGUGGCGAAGGCGGCUCACUGUCCGGAACUGACGCUGAGGUGCGAAAAGCGUGGGGGAGCAAACAGGAUUANAUACCCUGGUAGUCCACGCCCGUAAAACGAUGGAAAGCUAGUCGUUGGGGCGAUUUAUCGCUCC